GUGCAUACACCAUGGCAAAAGCUUGCAAAGUGUUCGACAGAAUGCUCAUGAGGAGAUUUGGGUAGCAACAUAAAGAUAGUAGUUGUCUGAUCUGCCUGUAGUGCUCUAACCAGUAACCACAUCAAGAACAGGCCUACUCCUCUGCCAGGUUAGAAUUUUUCCUCUACUUUCACUGGUUGGUCUGAUCUGUACAAUGAUAUGUACACCCUAGCAUGUGUAGAUACUUUUUGUUAGUUUAGUGAAUAAAUUAUAAUUCCCCAAUUAGAACUGGAGCCAAAUUAAGAUCCAAAUGGUAAUGCAAACUUCAAAACGCAACUGCCGUCUUUUUCUUAGUUUAGUGAAUAAAUUUGCCUGAACUUUUGAUCUCAUUAUAUUUGCCUGCAUCAUACAGGAAUUUCUUAGAAUGCAGCUCCACCUAUCCAUGCAGGUAUCUAAGGAAAAGGCUACAUUUAUCUGCUGAAUCAUUUUUUAUAUGCUAUCAAGAUUGCACAUGUGCACUGAAAUUUCCGAAACAGAAGAAAGAAGGGUGCAACAAUAUCUUUAAAAAAUAAUUGUGCCUAAUAUCUUGUCGUUACCUUUUGACAAUGCUGCAUGCACAUAUAAUGCCUAAGUUGACCUACUUGAGUAAGCAAAAUUUUAAUUAUAUGAACGAACUUUUCACCAGCUUAACAGAUGGGUCAGAAAUACACGUAGUUUUUCUGCCAUUGCCUUUUUAAAUCAGGGAAUAUGCAUGCACCUUAACUGGUGAGGUUCCAACUGAAAUAUCACUGAAUGAAGACCACUUUUUAGCAAUCCUAUUGAAAUUUACAUACUUGAGUGCCCCUGGUGGCGAAAUCGUACUUUCAGUUUAGGUCCAUGCAAUUGCUCUGAAUGUUGACCAAUCUGUGAAAAUUGAAUGACAGGGAAAAUUUUCCUUUGAGAAAUGCAUCUACAUGUUGUUGAUUGCUGUUCUACCGCAUGCUCUAAUUGGCUAUUCAAAUUUCAGAUACGAAAGAGGAGCCCCAGCUCAAACUUAUGCAGCAAAGAUUGCAAUGUUAAUUGUGAGUGUGGAUAGCCCAUGCAUAUCAAAUUCAGAUGGUAUAUAAUAUAGAUCCAACCGAUUACUGAGCAAGAAGAUGAAACAAAGCAAGGCAAGAAUGUCACAACUUCCGGACUGGUCCUACUACUACAUGGAAAGAUAACCAACAAUAAUUUGAAGCUAUACCAUGGUUAAAUGGUAUGAAUUACGCAAAUAUUAAUUGUGUACAAUGCGGCUAACUGUAAGUAUAUAUGUUCUGGUAAAAAAUAAUGAAAAAGAGAGAAGCAUAAUUAGAUUAAAAAACUUCAUUGUUCUCCAUUUAUGCUUACUAUUAUUGCAUUUGAUUUACACAUGUUGAACGGAAUUUACAACAGCUCUUGUGAGUUUUGAUUCUCAGUUGAGAAUUACUUAAAGAGCUACAUGAUUGUUUGUCUGAAUCUUUGCCUGAAUCUAUUUUGUUCAAUACAUAAUGCGCAACAAUAUACCCAUAUAUAGAUAGAUAUGCAUUCUA